rnacentral:rRNA from 1 species
AACGUAGGACACAAGCGUUAUCCGGAGUUACUGGGCGUAAAGGGCGUGUAGGCGGACCUAUAAGUCUAUUCUGAAAGCUCCUGGCUAAACUGGGAGAGGCGAAUGGAGACUGUAGAUCUAGAGUGAGGAAGAGGAAAGUGGAAUUCCGCGUGUAGUGGUGAAAUGCGUAGAGAUGCGGAAGGAACACCAGUGGCGAAAGCGACUUUCUGGUCCUUAACUGACGCUGAGGCGGCG